rnacentral:rRNA from 1 species
UACGUAGGGUGCGAGCGUUGUCCGGAAUUAUUGGGCGUAAAGAGCUCGUAGGCGGCUUGGCAAGUCGGGUGUGAAACCUCCAGGCUCAACCUGGAGACGCCACUCGAUACUGCCAUGGCUAGAGUCCGGUAGGGGACCACGGAAUUCCUGGUGUAGCGGUGAAAUGCGCAGAUAUCAGGAGGAACACCGGUGGCGAAGGCGGUGGUCUGGGCCGGCACUGACGCUGAGGAGCGAAAGCGUGGGUAGCAAACAGG